AAAGGAAAUAGUAAAGAAAACAUCUUCACACUUGUGUAUUGGCUAAAAUCUGCAUUCUGACUUAAAGGGAGGGGUCUCUACCACUUUAAUCCUACUGCUUUGCCUAAGGGCAUUCAGAUUGUGCUUUAGCUGGAUGGUUUUCACUUCUGCUUAAUAAAAGAAUCCUUUUGAACAACCACGUUUCAAGAGUUCGUACCUUCUUAAGUUGGAAGGAGAGGCGAUCCUUACAGAAAGCACAAUCUGCAAAACGGUCAACCCAGAGAAGCAAUCUUCGCUCUACUGAAUGGACCUUGCAAACCAUGUCUGAACGAAGCAGAGAGCUGGGAGAAACUGAUUGCUGGGGAGAGACAACAACCGCCACCCAGUCAGAUGCCUGUUUCAUGCACCCCAUCGGAGAGGAUGAGGUAACCCUGGAGAAUCCUGAAAAGUCCCGCUGGUCAAUUGGCAUUGGGAAGAAAGAUAGCUGGGAUGAGAGAACCAGGGGAGUCACCCUCAACCGUGGCAACUGAAAACCGGGGUGGAAACUGGAACUAGAAGUCCUUGCUGACCAAGGAGGACUGACCGAAGCACCACUGAGGGAGGAUUAUCUGAAGAGGCAUAUAACCCAAUUGGUGAUGGAAACUUUGGAAAAUCUCAACAUCUGAAGGGAGCCAGGACAACAACCAAAGGGCACGGAAGGAGCAGCCGUUGAAGAGGAUGCCACAGGAGGCACCCCCUGUCUGGAGCCUGCCUAUCGAGCAGAGGGUGCAGCAGCAGGGGGAGAAGACCCAGCAAACCCUCCCCCCCAGGCAGCAUGCACACUGGCACCCAUUCUCAACCAGCCCCGGGUCCUGCAACUGGAAAGAGAAACUCCCCCCCCCCUUGGGGUGAAGUUUGAUGGGAAUCCGCAACAAUUAGGAUUCUUUGUGGCACAUGUGCUAACCUACGUGCAAGAGUAUGGGCGUGAUUUCCAAACCCAAGGAUCCUGAGUGCGAGUUGUGACCCUAACCCUAGAGGGUGCCGCAGCCAGAUGGAUGGUGACCCUACAUAAUGCCAACGCACCAGAAUUGCAGAAUUUUGACCAUUUCAUGAUGGCCCUGCAACAUCGGUUCGAGGACCCACUGGCAGAUCACAAAGCACAUGACCACAUUAAGGUGGUGAAGCAGGGGUGAUGGCCAGUAGCAGAGUAUACUGAAGAAUUCCUGGACCUCGCGUGUCGUGUGCACUGGCCAGAAGAUAUUUUGGUGGACCCUUUUGUUUUCUAAGGAGGGUAGUUGGAAGACCUGAUGGAUCAAUGGCCUUCUCACUUCACUGAAUCUCACUGUCUGCUAAGAACCAGCUUAUAAAUGAAAAGCGACAAUGAAACAGAACUCACAGUGUGGAUCAUACUCAGUAAAAGUACCUUUCUCUAUGAAAAUGGAGUCGGGAUUUUUCUUUCUUGAGUACUGAAAGGAGGCACACCUGACAUUAAGCAAGGUCUGCAAUUAGCAGACAUCCCAGAAAACUACCGUGGGGGCUGAGCAAACUAUAUCUGAUCAAGACAGCAACCAGGAACAGAUGGGAGUGGCUGGCUCAGCGACUCCCCCAUCAUACCCUGGCUGGGAGCCUUCAGACUAGAUGGCUAAUUUACAGCUGGAGGAGAAGCCGGAGAGAGCCAAAUGGUUGCUGGGCAUGGGGAGGUUACUGGAGCUGGAAAAGACCCCCCAAGGAGUAACAACUCCCAGAAGCUGAGGUGGAGAUGCUGCCUGUCAGCAAGAGCAGAAAGAAAAUCUUCUGAUCACCCAUGCUUUGCAACUACUGAGAGAGGUUGUGGAGAGUCGUAAAGCCCGUGAAAGGUAUGGAUUGACUGCCAGGGAGGAGGAUGAAUGCCAUGGGGGUGAAACGGAGGCUGUUGCUUGUGUGGAAGAGAGCGCCCAAUCCCGGGAAGAGACAGCUCAGGCCUCUGGAUCCCGGCUGCAGCCCAGGACCCCCUGCUGGACAGGCUCUGCUAUGGAGGUGAAGCAAGCCCAAAAUUCCCUUACUAUCAGUAAGAUACGGGGGAGAUCCGAAAGGACUGUGAUUCUUUUUAACUCAAGUGUGGAACCACAUGCAGGACUGGGGGGAGGAUUACCAGGGCCCUGGACGGGGUUGCAGCUGAGUGUAUGAUGGGACUCCAUAAUGAAGAUUCCCCCCUGAUGAGGAAUUAUGACCAAUUCAUGGCAGCCCUCAGAAUGCGGUUUGAGGAUCCGUUAGCCGAGUGAAGGGUGAGAAUUAGAACGAAGUCCAUAUAUCAGGGGUGGAGAGGGGUGGCGGAGUACACCCAGGAGUUCCAUGAGUUGGCACCCUACAUGAAAGGGUGGUCAUAAGUAGCCCUAAUGGAGAGCUAUAAAGAUGGGCUAAAUGAAGAUGUCUACAAAGAUUGCUGCUCCCGAGGGGCCCCUAGGGAUCUGCAGAGUUGGUACGUGCUGGCCGCAGACGUGAAGAUCGACUUGGCCAGGGAUUGUUUCUGUGGUGGGCGCACCUGGAAUCCACCACCCUCCUCAUCCCACAAGGGUGCCAAAGACUGCAGUGGGGCUGGCAGGCUCCAAGCCGAAGUCCUCCACAUGUUUCAGAUGUGGGAAGGAGGGGCACCGAGCAGCUGAGUGUUUCUCUAAGUCUGGAACCAAGGCGACCCCUAGUAGAGGGAAGAGAGCCGAUAAAGCAACUGCGAAAGCCCGCGAAAGUGCCCUAAAAGGGGUAGAAGUCAUUGAGUUCGCUCCCCUGAAACAGGGUGAGUUGGGAACUCCGACCAUUGCCGAUGACAGCAAAACUGAAACCGAUUCCGAUGAGGACCUCCUGGUAAGUCAGAAUGGGGCCCCCAUGACCAUCCCAGUAGAACUAAAGGUACCAUCCACCGGGGCCCACAGGCAGAUGCUAGCCCUUCUAGAUUCGGGAUGCACCAGGUGUGUCAUCAGCCCGGACAUCGUAGAACAGAUGGGUCUAAGACUAAAAACAAUGAAAAGACUCAUCACAUUCUGUCAGCUAGACAGAUCGGUGGCUGGGGGGGGCAGCCUAUUUUGUAACUGAACCAAUUGAGAUGAGGAUGGGGGAUCACCUAGAGACUCUGAGUUUUAUUAUGGCUCUGGGCAUGGAACGGCCCCUCCUACUUGGGUUGCUCUGGCUCCAAAAAUGGAACCCAUGUAUAAAUUGGAAAACAGGUGUGUUGUGCAUCCUCUCCAAUCAACAAGGGAAAGAGGGGAGGACCCCUAUUGUGUGGCGAAAGUGGCAAGCGAGGGGGCGGCAACUGCAACAGAUCACUUUGUGGGGUAAGAAAAGAUCCCAAAAGAGUACUGGGACCUCUGGGAGGUGUUCAGUGAAAAGGCGUCAGAUGUGCUGCGCCCCCACCAGCCGACAGACUAUAGCAUAAAAAUCCUUCCUGGAGUAAAACUCCCUAAACCAAAAAUCUACCCCAUGACCCCCCCGGGAGUUGGAGGAACUGCGAGACUUUAUUGAUAAAAACCUAAAACACGGCUUCAUUCAACUGGCUAGGCCGUGAGUAGUCACCCCGGUAGUAUUCUGGGAGAAGGAUGGGUCUUAUCGCCUGGUGGUCGAAAUCUCAAUACCAUCUGCAUAGAAAACAUCUACCCCAUGCCCCUCAUGAAGGACAUGCUAGCCCACCUGGAAAUUUUUUUACUAAGUUGGACUUGCGGGAGGCGUAUUAUAGAGUUUGAAUUAAGGAAGGCGAUGUCACUGCAUUUUUGUAUUUACCAGCUGAGCUCAUUAUUUCUGGACUGUCAGACUUUCCGUAGCUUGCCAAAAUUUCUUAUCAGUAACUGAUACUACGCAUGUCCACAUUCUUUCACUUGCUUCUCACUUUCCUUUGUUCUCUUGCCAGAAGUCCAGCUGAGAAACAGCCGGCACGAACUUUUGCAAAAAUGUAACAAUUAAUUUUCUUAGUUAGUGAGAUGUUUUAUUUUCUUUAUAACAAAUAAAUGAGUUUUCUUAGAAAAUAUCUUUGGGUUUUGUUUUCUUAAAGUAUACUUGCAAGGAAAGGUCUCAAUCCUCCCCUCGUAAUCAGGUGCGAUUAUCCCAAAAGCAGAAUGGGAUUAAUCAACGCCCUGACAGGCGAUGAAUGGAAAACUGCUUUCAACUGCCCGCUGGGAUGUUUCCAGUUUUGGGUGCUCCCUUUCGGACUGCAAGGAGCCCCUGCCGUGUUCAUGCAACUGAUUAACGAAGUACUGCACAAACACCUGUACAAGGGGAUGCUGGUCUACCUUGAUGGCAUUCUUAUUUACACCGAGACCAUGGACGACCACGUAAAACUUGUGAGGGCCAUCCUGAAAAAGCUUAGAGCUGCUGAACUGUAUGCUAAGCUAUCAAAAUGUUAAUUCCACUGGACUAAAAUUGACUAUCUGGGGUACCACAUCUUGCAUGAGGGGAUAGAGAUGGAUCCAGGAAAGGUCCCAGCCAUGUUGGAAUGGGCUCCCUGACGCACCCGCAAACAAUUACAAAGUUUCCUGGGUUUUGCUAAUUUCUAUCGACAGUUAAUCCCCUCAUUUGCAAAAAUUGCCUUACUGAUUACUAAUCUUCUGAAAAUGAAAGGAGAGGAGAGGCCAAAAUCCUCCCAGCCCCUCGAGUGGACUAUUGACUGUCAGGGGGCUUUUGAGAAACUGAAACAACUGUUUGCUGCCAAACCAGUCCUUAAACAUCCUGACAUAGAAGCCCCGUUUGUUGUUCAGGCUGACGCCAGUGAUGUGACCGUCGGGGCGGUGUUACACCAAACGAAUGCAGAGGGGAAGUUGCAACCCUGUGCCUAUACCUCUCAGAAAUUAUUGGAGACCGAGAGGAGGUGGGCCAUAUGGGAAAAAGAGGCUUUUGCUGUUCAUUGGGCGCUGUUAACGUGGAGACACUUCCUUGAAGGAGUGGAGCACCCAUUUGAGGUGUGGACUGAUCACAAAAACUUAGAGGCUUUGAAAACGCCACGAAAGCUGUCACCUAAGCAAGUCCGCUGGGCUCAACACUUUAAACGAUUUAAUUUCUCCCUGCGCUACCUUCCUGGAGGGAAGAACUUUAUGGAAGAUGCCCUUUCAAGACUGCCUCAAUACAAUAGUGUUAGAGAGGAAGUAAUUCAUCUGGUUAUCCCCUUGAAACAGCUGGCGGUACCAGUGGUUACCAGA